UUUUUGAGUAUAAUUUAAGGUCUAACCUGCCCACUGAUAAUUUUGAAGGGCCGCAGUAUUCUGACUGUGCAAAGGUAGCAUAAUCAUUUGCCUUUUAAUUAGAGGCUAGAAUGAAUGGUUGAACGAGGUAGGAUCUGUCUCAUUAUUAGAAUUUUAAUAAUUUAGCUUUUCAGUCAAAAGGCUGAAAUUUAAUUAGAGGACGAGAAGACCCUAUAGAGCUUUAUAGUUUUGUUAAUAAUAAAUUAUAGAUUAAAAUUAUUAUUUAUUAAUAAGAUUAUUUCGUUGGGGUGACGGGGAGAUAUAUGUAACUCUUUUGAUUAAAGAACAUUGAUUUAUGAAUUUUUGAUCCAUUUUUAGUGAUUAUUAAAAUAAGUUACCUUAGGGAUAACAGCGUAAUUUUGUUGGAGAGUUCAUAUCGAUAACAAAGAUUGCGACCUCGAUGUUGAAUUAAAGAAAUUCCUGAGUGCAGAAGUUUGGGGAAAUAGGUCUGUUCGACCUUUAAUUCUUU
rnacentral:rRNA from 1 species